GACGAACGCUGGCGGCGUGCUUAACACAUGCAAGUCGAACGGAAAGGCCCUGCUUUUGUGGGGUGCUCGAGUGGCGAACGGGUGAGUAACACGUGAGUAACCUGCCCUUGACUUUGGGAUAACUUCAGGAAACUGGGGCUAAUACCGGAUAGGAGCUCCUGCUGCAUGGUGGGGGUUGGAAAGUUUCGGCGGUUGGGGAUGGACUCGCGGCUUAUCAGCUUGUUGGUGGGGUAGUGGCUUACCAAGGCUUUGACGGGUAGCCGGCCUGAGAGGGUGACCGGCCACAUUGGGACUGAGGUACGGCGCAGACUCGUACGGGAGGCAGCAGUGGGGAAUAUUGCACAAUGGGCGGAAGCCUGAUGCAGCAGCGCCGCGUGCGGGAUGACGGCCUUCGGGUUGUAAACCGCUUUCGCCUGUGACGAAGCGUGAGUGACGGUAAUGGGUAAAGAAGCACCGGCUAACUACGUG
rnacentral:rRNA from 1 species